GACGAACGCUGGCGGCGUGCUUAACACAUGCAAGUCGAACGGAGUCUCUUAGACAGAAGCCUUCGGGUGGAAGACUUUGAGACUUAGUGGCGGACGGGUGAGUAACACGUGGGUAACCUGCCCCAUAAACCGGGACAACAGUUGGAAACGACUGCUAAUACCGGAUACUCUCAUUGGAAGGCAUCUUCUGGUGAGGAAAGGUGGCCUCUGAACAUGCUACCGAUAUGGGAUGGACCCGCGUCUGAUUAGCUAGUUGGUGGGGUAACGGCCUACCAAGGCGACGAUCAGUAGCCGGCCUGAGAGGGUGACCGGCCACAUUGGGACUGAGACACGGCCCAA
rnacentral:rRNA from 1 species